UACAGAGGGUGCAAACGUUGUUCGGAAUUACUGGGCGUAAAGCGCAUGUAGGCGGCAACGCAAGUCGGGCGUGAAAUCCCACGGCUCAACCGUGGAAGUGCACUCGAAACUGCGUAGCUAGAGUCCUGGAGAGGAAGGUGGAAUGCUUGGUGUAGAGGUGAAAUUCGUAGAUAUCAAGCGGAACACCGGUGGCGAAGGCGGCCUUCUGGACAGUGACUGACGCUGAGAUGCGAAAGCGUGGGGAGCAAACAGG
rnacentral:rRNA from 1 species